GAGACUCUGUGCGCGUGCAUAUCAAUAAGCGGAGGAAAAGAAACUAACAAGGAUUCCCUUAGUAACGGCGAGUGAAGCGGGAAGAGCUCAAAUUUGAAAUCUUCAAGGUUCUACCUUGACGAAUUGUAGUUUAAAGAAGUGUUUUCUGUUAGAUGAGUAGCAAAAGUUCCUUGGAAUGGGACAUCAUAGAGGGUGAGAAUCCCGUAUUUGGUUAUUCAUUCUAGCUUUGUGAUACACUUUCAAAGAGUCGGAUUGUUUGGGAAUGCAGUCCAAAAUGGGUGGUAAAUUUCAUCUAAAGCUAAAUAUUGGCGAGAGACCGAUAGCGAACAAGUACCGUGAGGGAAAGAUGAAAAGAACUUUGAAAAGAGAGUUAAACAGUACGUGAAAUUGUCAAAAGGGAAGCGUUUGACACCAGUGUUGUUUUUCCGAAAAUCAAUUACGAAUGGCUUGAUUCUGUGUUGUAUUGACCUUAUCAGCUUUCUUCACUUUUUUCGAGUCUUUCUUAAUGCACUUUUCGGUUAACAAGUCAACAUCAAUUUCUUUUGUUGUAAAAGAGUAUUCGGAAGGUGGCUUUCUUUUCGGAGAAAGUGUUUAUAGCCCUAUACUUCUACAAUCGGAGAGAUUGAGGUCUGCAGCGUAGAUCCUUCGGGGUUAGGAUACACUUGUGCUAAGUUGUAGCCUUUCAUAGACAACUUGUUGACUAUGUUUAGUCAUGCGGCUUACUCGCUUGUGCUAUUUUACCUACGCUUAGGAUGUUGACUGAUAUGUAGUCGUA
rnacentral:rRNA from 1 species